rnacentral:lncRNA from 1 species
UAGCCAGUAGUUGAUCUCCUGUCCACUCUAUCUCCUGCCCAAUCAGCAUCACAAUAGCCCACUACUUCUGUGCUGCCAUUGCAUCCCAUCCAAACUCCUUGACCAGACGUGCCACUCAAAUACCUCAGUAUCCUAUCAACCAUCUUCCAGUGAUGUACCCUUGGCGCCUGCAUAUGCUGACUCACUUGGUUUACAGCAAAACAUAUAUCUGGCCGUGUGAUGGUCAAGUAGAUCAGCUUGCCAACCAUCUUCCUGUAUAGCUUAGGAUCCUCAAACAACUGCUUCUCUUCAACCUCCCCCUCACGCAGAACCUUAUAUCCCUCCUCAAGGGGUGUUUUAGCUAUCUUUCCUCCAAGCACAUCAGUCUCCUUCAACAUAUCCAUAGUAUACUUCCUUUGAGACAUAAACAAAGGUGUUUUAGCUAUCUUUCCUCCAAGCACAUCAGUCUCCUUCAACAUAUCCAU